UACGUAGGGUGCAAGCGUUAAUCGGAAUUACUGGGCGUAAAGCGUGCGCAGGCGGUUAUGUAAGACAGAUGUGAAAUGCCCGGGCUUAACCUGGGAACUGCAUUUGUGACUGCAUGGCUAGAGUUUGGCAGAGGGGGGUAGAAUUCCACGUGUAGCAGUGAAAUGCGUAGAUAUGUGGAGGAACACCGAUGGCGAAGGCAGCCCCCUGGGGUCAAGACUGACGCUCAUGCACGAAAGCGUGGGGAGCAAACAGG
rnacentral:rRNA from 1 species